CUUUUUAAGUCCCUUGCAAAUUAAGGUAGGACAAAUGUUCUCACAAAAUAAACAUUCUCCUGUCUUCAGAAACCACUGAUAAAUAGUCCAGGCCGAUGGAUCCUUGCCUCUCCUCAGAAUAAGGGAGGGCUGUUAUUUUAAAGCAGCAAAUAGAACAGAUCCUCAAGUGCCCUGGCGGAACAGAAGGCUGGACUGUUAAAGUCUGUGACACUCUCAGUGAUGACGUUGGUUUCUAAGGGCUGCAGCAGCCAUACCCAAAGAAAACAUUUUAUAUAUGAUGAUGUAGUAACUAUACUUCAAGUCUUGACUUAAAAAUGUAUAAUUCAACAACAAAAUUACAAUUUCUCUGUAAAAGGAGCACUUUUUAAAAAUCCAAGCCACUUACACUGGUUUGAAAAUAUUUGGGGGGUCUUAACUGCUUCUGAGGCUAUAGCAAGUGGUUUCUCAUAAAAUCAGACCCAAGGGAACUCUCUGAGAGGACCCUAGGCACUUAGAUUUUAUUCCGGGUAUAAUUUAUUCCAAACAGUUUAGCAAAAUGAUGGUCACAUUAUAAGAGCAUACUCUGGAUGCAAAAUGUCCAGGAAAGACAGAAGUAGAGGUGGGGUCCAAGAAACAAUUCCAGUCUCCUAGAAACCAUGCCUUCUGCUCAAGCCAAGUGCUUCUCCUGAUCACGUCCUCCUGGUAACUCCUAGCAGCUGCGAGCAUUGGAACAUAGUCUUACCAGUUCCGGAGCCACCAGGCACCUUCUCUGAACGUCUGAACUAUCAGCCCCUUCCCUCAGAGCAGGCCUGCAGGGACUCAGCAAGGCUGGGUGCUGGAGGGCCACUCUGUAGGUCUGGCCAGAGGGAGACCACACCACCCAAAGAGCCAUUCAGCGACCAAGGCUCCCCUGAGCGGUCGCUGCUGGUGACACAGGCCCUUUGCUGGGAGAGCCCAGCCCUACUCAGAACAGAAGGGCUCACUGCUCCAGCCUCCAGCCUUCAAUCCCAGCUGCAGCUUUUCAGCUCUAGUUUUCCCUCCAGGUUAUCUUCCCUCUGUGGCUUCCAGCGGGUCACCCUGUGAUGCUGCAGUUCCCCAGUCUUUGCAAACGGGGGAGAGAUGACUACUGACUUCCGCGAUGAUUCAUGCUGGUUGUUUACAGCAGAGACAGAGGCAGUGCGCUG
rnacentral:lncRNA from 1 species